rnacentral:tRNA from 1 species
GCCCGGUUAACUCAAUGGUAGAGUGUCAGGCUUUUAACCUGAAGGUGUAAGUUGCUCGAUGCACAGCAAAUAUCUAUAACAUAGAUGCUAACGUCUACGCAGUGCGGGUUCGACCCCCGCAUCGGGCU